rfam:Trichinella papuae scaffold5s, whole genome shotgun sequence.
GCCCUUGUGGCCUAAUGGAGAAGGCGUCGGUCUCCUAAACCGAAGACUGCGGGUUCGAGUCCCGCCAAGGGUA